rnacentral:rRNA from 1 species
AACGCACCUUGCGCCCUGUGGUAUUCCGCAGGGCAUGCCUGUUUGAGUGUCGCGCUCCCCUCUCAACCUCUGCCCCGCCUCGUUGCGGGCUCGCGGACGGCUUGGAUCAUGGCUCCCAUCCCGACCGACGCGCUUGGCCUCACGGCCCGGCGUCGAGGUCGCGAGCCGAAAUCGCGCACAGCGGCGACCCGCGCUCUGCCGGUCCUCCGACGUUGUACACACCCUCGUCGGGGCAUACCGCAGAGACUGUCCCGCUCCGAAUGAACCGAGGGCUCCGGUCCUCUUUGACUUUCGACCUCAAAUCAGGUAGGACUACCCGCUGAACUUAA